UGGGGGAUAUUGCACAAUGGGGGGAACCCUGAUGCAGCGACGCCGCGUGGGUGAAGAAGCGCCUCGGCGCGUAAAGCCCUGUCAGCAGGGAAGAAAAUGACGGUACCUGAAGAAGAAGCCCCGGCUAACUACGUGCCAGCAGCCGCGUAAUAUACGUCU
rnacentral:rRNA from 1 species